UUCGGAGCUGUGCGGCACUCUGAGCAGGAAUGGCAGUGUGGACCUCUGUGAUGGGACAUCUUGUGGGAUCUCACAGCCAGGUAACUCUGGGGGAGGGGCAUGACUAGAACAUAAUGACCACAAAGCCCAUGAUGGUAUGAGAGUAGUGGACAGAAGGGAUUUCUGAAAAACACUUUUCUGAGGCUUUAAUUCAGCUACUGGAAAGGGUUUAGUUCCGUGAAGAAGGGGACUGACUGUUCACAUCUCUUAUUUCCAGUUCUGUGGCAAAGGAGGAUGAAGGCUUACGAGGACUCGUCAGGAAGCUGGAUAACAGAGCGAGCGCAAUGUAAGCAAUUUUGUGUGUGCAUGUGGUCCCAUUACAAGGAAUACCCAAUGGCAAAUGAGCACUAAAGAUCCCUCAACCCACACAUUGAAUGUAUUGUUCCCUGAGAACAAUUGUAGAUAGAGGAGUGGGUGGGAGAUCUGAAGUCAGGGCAUUGUUUCUGCGUAUCUGAGGAGGCUGGUUUUUGAUAUGUGGGAGCUAGUGGUCGUUAACGCAUUUACCCCCUAUUUGGUGGACUCUGGUUCCCCCAUCUUAAGUGCUGAGUCAGGGGCCUAACCGGGCAGCUUUAACUAUUUGUUUGUUGUAGGUGCUAGAAUAGAAGACCAGAAAAUGAAAUGGUGGAGUUUGAGGCUGGAUAGACAGUUUGAAAGGUACAAAUGAUGGUUUGAAUAAAGAAAGGUAUUACGCAUGGGUCACCUCAAGUGAAGGCACUGCAAACACAAUGGUAAGUCUUUGAA
ensembl:processed_transcript Gas5 growth arrest specific 5